rnacentral:rRNA from 1 species
CCUACGGGUGGCAGCAGUGAGGAAUCUUGGUCAAUGGGCGAGAGCCUGAUCCAGCCAAGCAGCGUGAAGGAUGACUGCCCUUCGGGUUGUAAACUUCUUUUAUAAAGGAAUAAAGUGAGGCACGUGUGCCUCUAUGUAUGUAGUCUAUGAACAAGGAUCGGCUAACUCCGUGCCAGCAGCCGCGGUAAUACGGAGGAGCCGAGCGUUAGCCGGAUUUAUUGGGUUUAAAGGGAGCGUAGGUGGGUUGGUAAGUCAGUUGUGAAAGGUUGCGGCUCAACCGUAAAAUUGCAAUUGAUACUGGCAGCCUUGAGUACGGUUGAGGGAGGCGGAAUUCGUGGUGUAGCGGUGAAAUGCUUAGAUAUCGCGAAGAACUCCGAUUGCGAAGGCAGCCUACUAGACUGCCACUGACAUUGAGGCUCGAAAGUGUGGGGAUCAAACAGGAUUAGAUACCCCUGUAGUC